ACCGGGUGUGGUGGCACAUGCCUGUAAUCCCAGUGGCUUGGGAGGCUGAGGCAGGAGGAUUGUGAGUUCAAAGUUAGCCUCAGAAACUUAGCAAGACCCUGUCUCAA
rnacentral:sRNA from 1 species